AUGCUGCCUCCAGUCCCCAGGAGGGCCUCGGAGAUAGCCCCAGAGGGAAGCGGAGGGGGGGGACCCGGCAGCUUUCUCUGCAGCCUGCUCUCCCAAACCAGCUCUCCCCAGAACAAAAACCACCCUGUUAAGAACCAGAAAGAGCCAGAAAAACACGCCUCCGGACAAAGCGAGACUAUUCAGCGAUCCCAGAGCUGUCUCUUCCCACCCUUGGGCUCAUUGACCCAACAGCUCACGCAGAGUCUGGAAGGAAGGACGGUCUGCGGAAGGAGGAAGAUUGCCGACCUCUAA
rnacentral:lncRNA from 1 species